CCACGUUGGAAGCAGACAGACUGGGCCUUCACCAGACACUGAACCUGCCUGUGCCUUGAUACUGGACUUCCAGGCUCCAGCACUGAGACCAUAAUCAUAACCCAGAAUCAAAUGGCACUGAAAGGUGACUCAAGAAGUUUGUAGAAGAACUCUGAUCAAGAAUUUUAACUCAGAUAAGUAUUCCUAUCAUUAUUUUUCUCUAUUGGUGGUCAUUGAGCUGGCUCUAAAUACUUGGAUACAUAAGGAAAAGAUACAAUAGUUAAUUUUUUGUUGUCAAGUUAGGAAAACUUGUCAUGAAUAUUUAUGUAUCACCGUUGUAGUCACACAGCAUGGAUUUAGUGUUGUAUUCUUUCACUUAUUCCCCUUAUGAUCUAGAACAAACUCCUAGGAUCUUCAGUUUCAUUACUUGUAAAAUGGGCAUAAUAAUAGUAUGUGAUAUCAUUGUAUUAAAGAUAAUUGGGACAAUGCCUGUACGCCAAUUCCUUUAUAAAACCAAGUGCUCAAAAAAUGGUAGUUAUUAUUAUUUUUAUUAUUAUUUUAUUGAUUGCUGAAGGCUUUAUGUGAAAUGACUGCUCUGAACUGUACUUGGAGCAAAAAUAUAGAAUUUUAAUGAAUCAUCACAACACUUUAUGAUAUAGAUAUUAUUAUCUCAAUUUUGUAUUUAAGCAAACUAAUUGGGAAUGUUAUAAAGCAUGCUCAAACUGACUGGUGACAGAGUGAAGAUUCCAAACCAGGUCUAUGCUUUUAGUCAUUCCUCUUUACUAUACACCUCUCUUAAAAGCCACAAGAGACCAUUCACUUCAAUUACCUAUUCUGACCUCAUAAAUAGAUGGCUGCUUAGUUCUUGGUAUUUAGGGGAACUAAAAAAUGCCCUUCUCCAAUAUUACAAGUAUCAGAGAACAUUAACUAAAGUAUUUACCACUUUCACCCUGAGGAACAGAGAAGCCAUGUUGGACAUAGGAAGGACAGUGGGAAACUGAGAACACCAAAUAUAAUGUUUAUUCACUGUAUGAUUUUGGUAAGGGCAGCCGUUGAUAAAUGUUCCUUAGUAUUCUCUAUUAAAAAACCAGAAAACUAAAUAUUAAGUAUCUGCAUGUAUAUUUAUGAAUGUUCAAAUGAGGUGUCUAUUAAUUUCAGAGAACACAUACACUGAGACAAUUGCAUUAUAUACACCACUGUUCUGGUACAUUUAUUAGUGGUUUCAAAUCAUGUAACAAACACUAUCUAAGUCCUCUUGGUGACAAAGGCAAUUGUGUGCAAAUUCCUGAUGAUGGAAUUAAUAAUUUAUUUUACUAUGGGCAUUUUAAACCAGAAGUUUAAAUUUAAAACAGGUAUUCUUCAAAACAGUAUAGUUAAAAGGCCAGAGAUGUGAAGCCAUAACCUGACCAAUGACAUUCAGGUCAUGAGUAAACAUAUGGUCUGCCACAGUGACUCAAUUAACCAUCCAUCAAUGUAAUUGCAUAAUACAUCAGAGGAGGUAGUCUCCUACCAGUGAGGGUCAGCAUCCCCUAUUAAAUUUAACAGGAAAAGCAUCACUUUGCCAUUAGCUUCUUUGGCUAUAUAUUUUUAAAUAUUUUGAAAAUACAUUCGAUACUGUAUUUUAUACUUACUGUUCUCUGGAAGAAAUUUUUGACAAACUGAUAUUUGGGCUGCUGGUUAAGAAAUAAUUCUACUUAUAAUAAAGCUGGCAUAAAUGAAAAGCACAACUUACAAGACAAGUAUUGCAUUUUAAUCAAUUCUAAUCACGUUAUUGUUGAGAUAAGAAAGAAGGAGGUAUACCAUUUAUACAUUAUGUAAAUUGUACAUAAAGUUAACAUGUUACAAACUUCUAUGAAGAGAUAUGGCUGAACUGGUUUAUGCAAUCUUUGUGAACAUUAAACCUUCUUGGCAUAGUACACAUGAUAAAAUAAUGGCAAUGCCUUAUUAAGUAAUUUUUUAAAAAAAUGUAUGGGGUAUUAAACUAGAUUGUCAGUAUGAUAGAGAGCUUGAAAUCAAGAACAAAUAAACAUAAUACUGGGUUUAUGCUUCAUAAGCAAGAUGUACUUAGUAAAUCAGGAAAUGCUCUGUUCCUAUCUGGUAUGUUUCUCCUUCUUUUGAGGUUCACAUCCUGAGGGAGAGUUGUACAUUAUUAAUGUUAUGUGCAUUUAAACCUACACCUUAGCAUCAAGAAAAAAUAGUGGAGAGAACUUAAAAGAGAUAUUUUAGCUAAUAGAUACAUAGUUCUCACUUGCAUUGUAUGCAACCUGCAUUCCCUUUGUAGACAGAAAGUAACCAUUGGCCAAGGCCCUAUUCCUAUAGGAUUAUUGAUAUAGAAAAAAAUGAUACCCCUAGAUUUCUGCUUUCUUCAGGACUCCACCUUCCUCUGGUAUAAUACAAUUUUUUUCUGACCUACAGUUGUUUGAUAUAAAAUCUUACUAUAUUUUUUGUUUUAUUUAUUUUUGGGGGGACUUGGCACAUCACUUUAGAAUAAAGUACAAUAUUACUAAAUAGUCAACUAGAAUUAUAAAAUAUUAGCAAUAUUUACCUUCUAACAAAACACAAGCUGAAUGUAUUAACUGAUUACCAGUUAUAUUAGGUAACAGUUUGGAAAAAAAUGGCACAGGGCAAGAAGAAAAAAUGAACAAGUCUUCAAAAAUUGUUCUAAGAAACUAAACUACUGUGGCUAUCGGCUCUGAUGAGAAUGGUGAAAUUGUUUGGAGAGGAAACCAGACAUUGCAAUGAAAAAAUAAUCUCUAUUACUAAAACUAACUUAAAAAGCCAAUAUCUAUAUACUGUUUACUGUGAGCUCAAGUAAGAACUAUUCCCUAUUUCAAAACUGUCAGUCCUCCCAGUCCUUUAUAUUUGCAUUAUCAACAAGCCUGUAUAUAUUACUGAAAAUUCUUUAGUGUUAAGUAUACUCUUUUUAACAAUUUUUUUCUGGAUAUAGAGAUAUAAUCAUAGAAUAAAGUUCUUCUGGAGUUUGAAAACAACUUUUGUCAGAAAUACAUUGUUUUCCUAGAAAGUCAUGAGGGUUGCUGAGAUUAUUCUUGCCCAUCAAAAUCUCUGUCUCAUUAGUUAUGCCAUACUACCUAGGGAAAAUAUCAACAGUGUUCUCCUCACGCAUAGGCAGCAGGUUCUGUGUUACAUCAGUACCAAUGCCAAAGCCUUGGCAUGCUGAAUUAGCAAAUUCCACUUGGAAACUGAACUGCAACUGGCUUGCUUUUACCAUUACGGUUGGGCUUGCAGGCUACCCUGGUUCACCUGCUAUGCCACUGUACUGAGGAAAUAUAAUUUUUGUGAAUUAGUUCUGUCUGAUAAUACUUUAUACUUUCUCCUAUUUUUUUUUAAAAAAGAUGUAGAAUUGAUAGGGAUUUACUUAAAAUAAAAUUAGUCUGUUGUAACUCCUUUAUGCUUCACUUUGAAUAGAUGAGCCAACGUUUUACUUGAGUGAAUACAUAAAGGCCAUGAUAGUUUAACUUUUACAACUCUCAUUAUUCUACCUCCAAGCUUAUUUAUCCCUUGUUUGCUCCUUCCUUACUUCAGGGGUCAAUAAUUUUUAAUGAGAUAACUGAAAGGAACAGUUUUGGGGGUUUGGAGAAAGGUAAAAUCAUAAUCACCAGGAAUUCAUUGCAGAACUCCACGUAAUUACUGUGAAGAGACUGAAGUUUUCAGGCCCCACUUGAAUUACCAGGGUCCCUUUAGAGUGAAAAAUGUAUGAAUCUCUUCCCUGGAGUUGUAGAGGACUUGGAUAUACAUUCUAGAAUAUGAAGAUUGAUUGAAAUUCUUAGAAGCAGAAAGUGGAAGAGAGAGACAAAGUGAGAAGAAAAAUAGCUGCAUGUUUCUAUUUUAUGCAGGGCCAGGCUUGGGCUAUUAUGAAUGUUGCUGAACACUGUUAAUCAAGCUUACACAGCUAUUUUGAUGGCAAACAAUUAGAACUCUGCAGCUCUACCUUGCAAUUAGCUUCAGGGAUACGGACCUGCACACCCUAAUAAUGAAAGAGACCUCCUUCAAGCACGUACUCCCUUGGAUUAUUCACUCUGGAGAAAAUCAGCUUCCACAUCAUGAGUGCUGUGAAGAGGCUCACAUGAGUGAACUUGGAAGAAGAUCCCCUGAGGCCUGGCAACAACCAAAUAAGCUUGGAAGUGUGCUCUUCAGCCCUGCUUGAGCCUUGACAGGAUAGCUGCAUGGACCAACUCACAAUUUGACCACAGCCUUAUGGGACAAAUGGAGCCAAUGACACCCAGCUAAGCCAUACCUAGAUUCCUGAUGCACAGAAACUGUAAAAUGAUAAGUGUUUGCUGUUUUAAGCUGCUAAUUUUGGGUAAAAUUUGUUAUAUGCAAUAGAUGACUAGUAGAAGGAUUAAAUGAGAUAAUUCACGUAAAGAACUUAGCAUGCACCCAAACAAUGGUAACUGUUAAUUGAACUGCUAAUAGUAUGGACCACACUUGCCUUUCCCUUUUCUCAAUUUUCAUAAAUAGAUUAAUCUAUAAUAAUCCUACAGCUAUAAUUUGAUACUUUAUGUUACUAAAGAAACUAGUAUAUACAUAUAUUUACAUAUACAUAUGUGCUUAUAUGUGUAUAUAUGGUUGCAUAUAUAUCUAUAUUUUUAUGUGCAUCAUAUAUGUAUGUGUGUAUGUGGUGUGUGUGUGUGUAUGUGUGUAAGUCUUUGAGUUCAAGGCUCUUUGGCUUUAUCUUAAGCACUGUGUUAGCUUAUACAAAAUGUGAAUUUAUUGUAUGAUGAAUAAAUUGAUGCUAGAUAGAAUGACACACUUUGAUCCAUUAGGCUUGCUUUAAGAAAAUUCUGCAAGCUGCAGAGCUGGUAUUUCUGGAAUCCAUUUGGGGUGACUGCGAAUUGGGUCAAAGGGAAUUAAACAGAUGGAAUUAUCUGGUUUCAUUUGAGUCAGCUGAGAAAAUAGAAAGGCCAGCCUCAAUUUCCAUAGUCAGCAGUAUAUAAUCUUUAAUUUUGG
rnacentral:lncRNA from 1 species